ensembl:lncRNA
GCUAGGGUGCCUGGGAGUGCAACACCAAGGAGCAUCUGACUUGAAGAUCCAUUUGCAGACAUCUCAGUCAAAAAAAUUUUAUUACCUCCGGCACACUGCAGAACUGUUUGAUUCAUUUGUUCAGAAUUUACUGUGAAUACUGCAGGGACUGCUUUGAUACAGAAGAAGACAGGGCAAUGCAGCAGAGAAGAAGGCUGCCUGUUUGUCCAGGACACUCUGGGGCAGGUGGAAACUUCGAGAAAGGAGAGGUCAGAAAGGUAAAACUUCAGACUGAGGUUAAAUUGUUGAGAUGGGAACAGUGAGCACAUUAACGCUCACCUAUUAGCUUCGCAUUGUGCAUAUUAACCAACGAAUGUUUGUUUUGUUUUGUAUUGUUAACUACUAGACUGCUUGCAAAUUUUCUUUGCUCGUAGUAGAAGUUACUCAAAGUGAUUGAAAGCCGCAGAAUGUUGCCUGGCUGAAAAACAGAGCUAAAGAAAAGGAGUUGACCAUGUAUGGGGACAGAACAUGUUCAUUUUUACUAUGUAUCUACAAGGUUUUCUGACCACACCACAAUUAAAGAAGAUAUGGUGCCAGGCUCUGUAAGGGUAGAAUCUACUUGACUCUAUGUAUGGGAACUGUUGAAUCACAGCCUGAACCUCUGAUUGACCACCUGAGGCAAGCUCUGAAUCAGCUGCAGGGGCACAGGUGAACGCAAUUUCACCUGAGUGACCGGGCCUCCUAGACCCCACUUAAAGGCUGACUCCCAGGGAGGAUGGGUCUCUAUCUGGAGAUUGCUCCUUUUGGAGCCCUUCCAUGAGCCCAGUAUACAGCUUCUAGCAACACCUUUAAUGGAAAAAUACAGAGAAAACACAAAAGACCAUUGAUGAAAAUGAUGACUGCAUGAAUUACAGCCUUCAUGAGAAAGCUGGAGAGAUUUGGUGAUGUCUGUAGCUUCUUGCUACAGAAGCACCUGCCCAGCCUGAGCAUGGAGCAAAGAAUUACAAGACACAAACCUUGAUUCAGACAGUGAUCUUUGUUCAGACCAACAAUCUGUGCAUGUUUCAAGGAAUUUUCCUUGAGCAAGUGUUUUAAAAUUUUAUGGAAUAACACCAUGUACAAUUACUGUGUCCUGGAAGCUGCAGCUUUGGAUGCAGGAUGGAACAUUGCAGAGAAAAGGAUGAAAUCCAGUUAUUUUUCCACUGCAUUCUUUUCAAGCAUGAAACAGUACACAGAGUACAGAAGAAAAAGCUUCAGAAAAAAACCUGCAAGACAGACUGAAGUCUGGACCUGCUGUGAUGCAAUUCUUUGAAAAAACAAGCUUGGAUUAUCAUCAUUCUGCACAAGUGAUGAAUUGAAUGCUCAUGGUUGCUGCUCUUUCUUCAGCUGGGAAGAAGGGAAGGCUGCUUUGUUUGCAUUGUGCAUCUGUAUAUAUUUUUUCUUUCUUGAGAGACCAUCGUUGCACUACGAAUUACUGGGAUCCUAUAUAUCACUCUUUGGACUUAGAAAAACAAACAACCAAAAAACCUGACAACAAUACAACAUAAGAAAACUGACAUUUUUUCAGCUCAUCAGUAUCAUUCUGAAAUCUAAUUCUGCCCUCCGAAAAUCUUGUAGCCUCUCUGGAUCUGUAUGAUCAACAAGAGCACUACAAAAUCAAAUGCUAUUUAUAUAUAUUUUUAAACAUAGGUCACUCCAAAAGUAAUGCCUCGUAUUUAUUUCCAUGGAAACUACAACAGACACGAAGAGCACAAUAACACUGGUUGAUAGAGCAAGUUAUCAUCUACAAAACGCUCUUUUUCAGCACAGUCACCACCACUAGCUCAGCAUUUUUGCCCACAAUGAACAAGAGCCUGCAAGCUGCCCUUGUCAAAAUCUGUACUAGUGAAGGUGACCCGUUGUCACCAAUGCUGAAAUGCACUACUUACCAUCUCACUGUGCUUGCAUACACUGUUUGGUCUCCAUAAACAUUCAGAAAGCAUCGAUGAAUAUCAAUGGGUGCCAUAUUUUCCACAUGGAGGAAUUCCGUACAAACCACAUUCUCAUCACCCUCCCUUCAGCAACCAUUCCCUUCCUGCUUCAGAUGAACAUUUCACUACACCCACCCUUCCCACCUUGGCCCUUCACCUGAACAGCCAUGUGUUUAAGACACUGUUGUCCGUUUAUCUCAAAUUCACUAAUUUCCCUGCUCACUAUCAAAACACCUUGCAUUUUUGCAGUUGUUAAUGUGAAUCGAUUUCUGCUAUGUGCUUGUUUUACAUAAAUAAUUUUAAAAAUAUUAACCUAUAGAAUAGUUCUUGUCAUUGUUCUAAGAACUCCGCUAAUCAUUACUCAGAUUAAUUUGCACUGUGAGCCUUCAAGCUGUUGUAAUCAUCUCAUUCUUCACAUUUAGAUAAGGGCACCACUGAUGGCAUUAAAAGGUCAGUAGAACUUGUAAGAGGACAUCUUUUCCAUGACUUUUUUUCCUUCUAGUGAGACUUAUACUGUCACUUAAUAGUAUUAUAAGCAUCUGGGGGGUAGUUUUAUUAUUACAUUCAAGGACAUCAUAAAGGUGAAAAAAAAAAAAGUCCAAGUCUAUAUCCAGAAGAGUGCACUAAGGGUACAGCCAUAUUAUUUAAACAGCAACGUUAUCAUUACCCAAACCUAUUUCCUCUUUCUACUCAAAUUUUAAAAUAAGCUAGAAAAUAUUCCUACAAAAUUGUUUUGCAAAGAGCAAAGACUAUUUGUUGUGUUCAAGAACUGAUCAAUAGCAACUUAUACUCUAAGAAACACAAAUUCUUACUUCAUGCUAGUUUAAUAGGAAAUAGGGAGGGCCUGGUCCACUGUCACUCACUGAACAAAUAAGCUUAAUACAUAAUUAGUAAAAGUGCUUGC